GAAAUGCGAUAAGUAAUGUGAAUUGCAGAAUUCAGUGAAUCAUCGAAUCUUUGAACGCACAUUGCGCCCAUUAGUAUUCUAGUGGGCAUGCCUGUUCGAGCGUCAUUUCAACCCAUCAAGCCCUAUUUUUGCUUGGCGUUGGGAGAACGCGGGGCCCUGGAGCCCCGCGCCUCCUCAAAUCCAUCGGCGGAGUCGUAGCGACCCAAGCGUAGUAAUUUUUCUCGCUUCAGGUGUUUUGCUGCAGGCGUUUAGCCGCUAAACCCCUUAUUCUUUUUAGGUUUGACCUCGGAUCAGGUAGGAAUACCCGCUGAACUUAA
rnacentral:misc_RNA from 1 species